rnacentral:misc_RNA from 1 species
AUAAAAACAUUACUUGGCUGCAGCAUGUACAAACGCUGCAGUCAACAUUUUCUCACUUCUGGAUUUUUCUCAAAUCAAAAUUUUUUUCUUUGUGAAAACAUGUGUCAGUUUUACAAACUUUAUCAUUGAGCACUCAUAGACACCCCACAACAUGGGUUCUGAAAAGGGCCAUCUGCAACACAACUGCUGAAAUCCAUCCACGACAUUGCAGCCAUAUUAGACAAGCAAGGCCAAAUUGACAUGAUCUUUUUAGACAUUGAAAAAGGUUUUGACCACAUGUCCCAUUCAAAGCUUUUAAUUAAACAUAAGCCUACACUAAAAAACACUUUACUCAGGUAGAUUGAAGCUUACCUUUCCUUUCUAAAACAAAGGGUUACUGUUGAUGGUGCUAGCUCUGAUUCACAGUAAGUGGUGUCAGGCAUCUCACAGGAAUCAAUGACACCACUUUUUUUCGUAAUUUUCAUUAAGGACAUUGCGCUAAGCAUUCCAGGAAACAUAAGGUCAUUUACAGACGACUGCAUCUUGCAGGUAUAUCGUGAAUUUCAUAGCCACCGUAACAAGGACCUCUUAAAUUUGGCAUUAUUAAAAAUAUGUUCCUGGUGCACAACAAUGCGAAUGAAAGUAAAUUAUGAAAAAUCAAUGGGCUUUGACUAUAAUGCGCAAAUGGCUUCCCCUUCAAUAUGUCUACACAUGACCAUAAACUCUCUUUUGCAAUGUCUUUUAAGUAUUUAGGUGUUAUAUUCAGCUCAGAUUUUAAAUAGAACAAACAUGUCUCCUACGUUGAAAAGAAAGCCUUACUGCAAUUGGGCAUCUUAAGAAUGUCUCUGAGAAGGUCCACACCAGGAAUAAGGUUACUUUUCUAAAAAACAUUUAUUUACCACAUCCUCGAAUUACUUCAGUGGUUUGAGAUUCCCGUCAUCGAAGUAACAUAAGAAAACUUGAAAGCAUCCAAAGAAAGGCAAUGAAGUUUGCAUACAAUUUGCAUAGCUGUCACAUUUUACUGAGCACUUAUUUAAAACAGGCAAAUAUUGAGUUAUUACAGAGACGGCAACAUAAUGACAGAGUCAAAUACAUGUUUUUUAUUACCAUGGGAAGCUAGGCAUUGACAAAGGCACUUUUCAUCAAUCACACAGCGCUCCACACGCUCCCAGCAUUGAAAGGAACUGAGGGAAUACGCUAGUAAAAAGAAUGCAUUCAAAAACUCAUUCUUCCUGGGCACUGUUACAGAAUAGAAUCUUCUGCGUGCAAAAACAGUUGCGCGUAUAGACAUGCAGCCAUUCAUAUCCACACUUAGGGGGCAAUCUUAACAGCGCACAUUUUCUUUUUUUGUACUAUUAUCUCGUUUCAGGCAUUGGCCACUAUUUUCAGCCGAUACUGAUUGCCAUUUUUCUUGCAGUUCACUGUUAUUGCUCAAAUGUACAGGCAGUUAUUUUCAUUACUAUUUUUUUUAAUUGUGUGUUUUUCCGUUGUUAUAGAUGUAUAGGAUCCACUGUUUUCUGUCCACAUGAUACACUCUUUCAUGCCUUACUUUACAUUAAGUGUAUUGUUUUACAUUAAUUUUGUUUUCUCACUGUAAUGUGUUUGGCGCUCUUUGGCCAGAGGUGGCCCUUGCACCAUAAAUACUCAUUAAUCAAUUUCCUGCUUAUGGCCACAUGAGGGCUAGCAGUACUUCUGAAAUAAAUGAAUAAAUAAAUAAGUAGAUAAAUAAAUAAGUAAAUAAACAAAUAAAUCAGAUUAUUUACCAAAUGACAAAAGUAGGCCAGCCAUGCUUUUAUUUAUUAUCUCACCUGAAAUCUUCCUCAAGACCACUUGAAAAAAAAAUAAAGAAAUAAUCAUUGGCAUUAUUAUCUAUGUUCUCUUAUUUCUUUUGCAUUUUGUAAUUGUAGUUUGGUUUUUAUUGUUUCAUUGUGCAGGACCAAGUCAUUAUUCCUCUCCAACAACUGCCGAGGAUGAGUAGUCACAGCAAGGACACCUCCACCACUGAUCAAGUCAUUCUUCCUCUCCAACAACUGCCGAGGAUGACAAGUCACAGCAAGGACGCUUCCACCACUGUGAUUUCUGUGACUAUGAAACUAAAAGAUUGUUUGAUCUGAAAAAACAUAACAGGGUCCACACAGAUAACACCUGUACUGUGGCUUCCACCCAAUAUUUAUCUGUAGAAUUGUAUUGGCUUCUAACUCUGAAAAAAUAUUAACUGCCAAAGAAAAUAUAGGAGCUAGAAGUAAAGAUUAGCAACAUGGCUUUUGGUUUUCAUCACGGAUAUUCCACAGAGCUGGCCCUGAUCCAUCUUCAUCAUCAGCAGCAGCAGCCUGUUUUAUGUCCACUGCAGGACGAAGGCUUACUGACCAAAUAAAAAAAUUAAUUGACGAAGGA